rnacentral:rRNA from 1 species
GACGAACGCUGGCGGCGUGCUUAACACAUGCAAGUCGAACGGAGUGGCGAACGGGUGUGUAACACGUGGGUGAUCUGCCUUGCACUUCGGGAUACGCUUGGGAAACUGGGUCUAAUCCCGGACAUUGCAAGGUGGGCUCGCUGCCUAUCCGCUUGUUGGAGGGGUAAGGGCCUACCAAGGCAUCGACGGGUAGCCGGCCUGAGGGGGUGUAAGGCCACAUUGGGACGGAGUGACGGCCCGUACUCCUACGUGAGGCAGGAGUGGGGAAUAGUGCACAAUGGUCGGAGGCCUGAUGCAGCAACGCCGCGUGGGGGGUGAAGGCCUUCGGGUUGUAAACUCCUUUCUACAGGGACGCGGUACCUGUAUAAGAAGCACCGGCUGACUACGUGCCAGCAGCCGCGGUAAUUC